UUUAUAUUAUUAUAUAAAACUUCAUAAACUUUUUAAAAUGUAAGUUCGUGAAGCACUGUUGAGUACUAGCUUCGGGAAUGGAUCGGUAAAGCAAACUUCCAUUCCCUCCAAAAGUGGCAAGCGAACACAUUCGCUGGCGAGCUAUGUAGGAACCAAACUAUGUUGUUGAAGUUACAAGAGACAUGCACUAUGUGUGAUAGUUAUGAGGACAACGUCAGUUAUCUCGUCAAUUUGCCAUUUUAUGUGAUAUCAAGUUAAAGAAUCUCGUGAAUUAAUACGAGCGUGCUGAUGAACCGGUGUUUUUUACGCUAGACUGCUGCAUGCUAGCGGGCUUCCGUUAGCCACCGAUAGUCCACUGUAUACUUACAGUUUGAACUAGUUUGGGCGCGAAUUCGACGACAGUUUUGUAAGUCGCAUAUAAAUGUGGAGAAUACGUUUGGACUACUGAAUCUUAUUUCAUUUCAUGGUAUGUUUGUUCUUAUGGACCCUCUUUGUGAUGUUUCAGUUCGCUGAAAAGCAUCUAUGGAUGAGUUUAUCAGUUCCAACUUGACUGAGUGGCAGCUACCAGGGCUGAUUGAAAGAUGCCAGGGGAGAAGUCGCCCUGACGCUUCUGCCCAUCCUGCUCCCUCCGCCUGUUUUUAAAAAGGGCAGGAAAUUGGUCCGGGCGACUAUUCAGGAGGUGAAGAGAGCCUUCAUCGAUGUUAAGCCCGUCGGAGCUAACAUGGUGGAAUACUUGCAGCAGGCAGAAUCGCCUACCCAUUUGUGCUGCUGCUCACAGAGCCUCUUGUUCUAUGUAUAUAUCACUCUCUCAUAGCUGUCCCCCUCACUUGUUCUUAAAAUGUUAUUUUUUUGUACAUAAUUUGUUCAUAUGUGAAGGAAAUGUUGUGAGUUGUUAUAUUUGUAUGU